rnacentral:lncRNA from 10 species
GAAUGGUGAUUACCAGAGGUGGGAAGCGUCAGGAAAGGGAAAGCUGUGCUUAGUUGAUGCUAUGACUGCAAAUACAGUAGGAGAUUGAAUGCACAAUUGAGAGGCUCAGACAAGGCAAUGUGGUAAUGAAGAUCCAAAGGAGAGGGUGACCUCAAUCAUGGUCCUCUUGCUAUUGGGAAGCAUUGAUUGUUUGAUUGUCCAA